rnacentral:rRNA from 1 species
UACGGGGGGUGUAAGCGUGGUUCGGAAUUACUGGGCGUAAAGGGCUCGUAGGCGGCCAACUAAGUCAUACGUGAAAUCCCUCAGCUUAACUGGGGAACUGCGUGUGAUACUGGAUGGCUUGGAUUUGGGAGAGGGAUGCGGAAUUCCAGGUGUAGCGGUGAAAUGCGUAGAUAUCUGGAGGAACGCCGGUGGCGAAGGCGGCAUCCUGGACCAAUAUUGACGCUGAGGCGCGAAAGCCAGGGGAGCAAACGGG